GCCGAAGUGGUGGAAUUGGCAGACGCAACGGAUUCAAAAUCCGUCGUUGGUGACAACAUGCGGGUUCGACUCCCGCCUCCGGCACCA
rnacentral:tRNA from 7 species